AUGAACGCUAGCGACAGGCUUAACACAUGCAAGUCGAGGGGCAGCAUGAUUUGUAGCAAUACAGAUUGAUGGCGACCGGCGUACGGGUGAGUAACGCGUAUGCAACUUACCUAUCAGAGGGGGAUAGCCCGGCGAAAGUCGGAUUAAUACCCCAUAAAACAGGGGUCCCGCAUGGGAAUAUUUGUUAAAGAUUCAUCGCUGAUAGAUAGGCAUGCGUUCCAUUAGGCAGUUGGCGGGGUAACGGCCCACCAAACCGACGAUGGAUAGGGGUUCUGAGAGGAAGGUCCCCCACAUUGGUACUGAGACACGGACCAAACUCCUACGGGAGGCAGCAGUGAGGAAUAUUGGUCAAUGGCCGAGAGGCUGAACCAGCCAAGUCGCGUGAAGGAAGAAGGAUCUAUGGUUUGUAAACUUCUUUUAUAGGGGAAUAAAGUGGAGGACGUGUCCUUUUUUGUAUGUACCCUAUGAAUAAGCAUCGGCUAACUCCGUGCCAGCAGCCGCGGUAAUACGGAGGAUGCGAGCGUUAUCCGGAUUUAUUGGGUUUAAAGGGUGCGUAGGUGGUGAUUUAAGUCAGCGGUGAAAGUUUGUGGCUCAACCAUAAAAUUGCCGUUGAAACUGGGUUACUUGAGUGUGUUUGAGGUAGGCGGAAUGCGUGGUGUAGCGGUGAAAUGCAUAGAUAUCACGCAGAACUCCGAUUGCGAAGGCAGCUUACUAAACCAUAACUGACACUGAAGCACGAAAGCGUGGGGAUCAAACAGGAUUAGAUACCCUGGUAGUCCACGCAGUAAACGAUGAUUACUAGGAGUUUGCGAUACAAUGUAAGCUCUACAGCGAAAGCGUUAAGUAAUCCACCUGGGGAGUACGCCGGCAACGGUGAAACUCAAAGGAAUUGACGGGGGCCCGCACAAGCGGAGGAACAUGUGGUUUAAUUCGAUGAUACGCGAGGAACCUUACCCGGGUUUGAACGUAGUCUGACCGGAGUGGAAACACUCUUUCUAGCAAUAGCAGAUUACGAGGUGCUGCAUGGUUGUCGUCAGCUCGUGCCGUGAGGUGUCGGCUUAAGUGCCAUAACGAGCGCAACCCUUAUCACUAGUUACUAACAGGUGAAGCUGAGGACUCUGGUGAGACUGCCAGCGUAAGCUGUGAGGAAGGUGGGGAUGACGUCAAAUCAGCACGGCCCUUACAUCCGGGGCGACACACGUGUUACAAUGGCAUGGACAAGGGGCAGCUACCUGGCGACAGGAUGCUAAUCUCCAAACCAUGUCUCAGUUCGGAUCGGAGUCUGCAACUCGACUCCAUGAAGCUGGAUUCGCUAGUAAUCGCGCAUCAGCCAUGGCGCGGUGAAUACGUUCCCGGGCCUUGUACACACCGCCCGUCAAGCCAUGGGAGCCGGGGGUACCUGAAGUCCGUAACCGCAAGGAUCGGCCUAGGGUAAAACUGGUGACUGGGGCUAAGU
rnacentral:rRNA from 1 species